CCGCCCGAGGAGCCUCUCUGACCCAGAGCCUUCCAACUCCAGGGCUUGGAGGCGGAAAGGGAGCGGGCAGGAAGAGACCCGGGAACGAACAGGAGGAUCCCAAGAAAACUUUCCACCCUGGAUUCUCUACUUUUGAUCCAUGGACAAAGCCCACCGCAGCCCAGUUUCCGACAGACCCUGAACAGUCCCUGUUCGUUUUAUUGCGAGCUGCCGGUGGGAAGUUCCAGCCCGCGGAGGCCGAGGAGCCCCAGGAGCCCCAGGAGCCCCAGGAGCCCCAGGAGCAUGGAGCGGCGGAGCGCCAGUCCCUGCCUCCGCGACAUCCGCGACAGUCGCGACAGUCCCGACCGGAGGAGCGGCAGCCCCGACCCCAAAGGGCCCCCGCCUCCCAAGGCCGCCCGGCUGGACCAGAAUGGCAGCCCCAUGGGCGCCCGGGGCAGGCCCAACGGGGCCACCCUGCCCAAGGCCUCCCAAGGAGGUUUGAUGAUCCCCGUCUUCUGUGUGGUGGAGCAGCUGGACGGUGCCCUUGAAUACGACAGUCGUGAAGAGCACGCGGAGUUUGUGUUGGUGCGCAAAGACGUCCUCUUCAGCCAACUGGUGGAGACGGCUCUCCUGGCCCUGGGCUAUUCCCACAGCUCGGCCGCUCAGGCGCAAGGCAUCAUCAAGCUGGGCAGGUGGAGCCCCCUCCCCCUGAGCUACGUCACGGACGCCCCGGACGCCACCGUGGCCGACAUGCUGCAGGAUGUCUACCACGUCGUCACCCUCAAGAUCCAGCUGCAAAGUUGUUCAAAACUGGAAGACCUGCCGGCCGAGCAGUGGAACCACGCCACCGUCCGCAACGCCUUAAAGGAACUCCUCAAAGAGAUGAAUCAGAGCACAUUAGCCAAAGAAUGUCCGCUCUCCCAGAGUAUGAUUUCAUCCAUUGUAAAUAGCACAUAUUAUGCCAAUGUGUCAGCGACCAAGUGCCAGGAGUUUGGGAGAUGGUAUAAAAAGUACAAGAAGAUUAAAGUGGAACGCGUGGAACGAGAGAACCUGUCGGACUAUUGCGUCCUGGGCCAGCGUCCCCUGCACCUCCCCAACCUGAGCCAGCUGGCCCCGCUGGGCAAGGCGGGCGAGCCCCUGCCCCACGGCCAGCUCCACCACGGCUCGCCCAUCCGCAACCAGGUGCCCGGCCUGCAGCCCCUCAUGAGCCCCGGCCUCCUGUCGCCGCAGCUGAGCCCGCAGCUGGUCCGCCAGCAGAUCGCCAUGGCCCAUCUCAUCAACCAGCAGAUCGCCGUGAGCCGCCUCUUGGCCCAUCAGCACCCCCAGGCCGCCCUCAACCAGCAGUUCCUCAACCACCCGCCCAUCCCUCGCGCCGUCAAGCCCGAGCCCCCCAACGCCUCGGUCGAGGUGUCGCCGGACAUCUACCAGCAGGUCCGCGACGAGCUCAAGAGGGCCAGCGUCUCUCAGGCCGUCUUCGCCCGCGUGGCCUUCAACCGCACCCAGGGGCUGCUGUCGGAGAUUCUGCGGAAGGAGGAAGACCCCCGGACAGCCUCGCAGUCCCUCCUGGUCAACCUGCGGGCCAUGCAGAAUUUCCUCAACCUGCCCGAAGUAGAGCGAGAUCGCAUCUAUCAGGAUGAGAGGGAGCGGAGCAUGAAUCCCAACGUGAGCCUGGUGUCCUCCGUGUCUGGCAGCCCCAGUUCUUCCAGGCCCGCACCCCAGGCCAAGACGUCCACCCCGACGGCCGACCUCCCCCUGAAGGUGGACGGGGCCAGCGUGAACAUCACGGCGGCCAUCUACGAUGAGAUCCAGCAGGAAAUGAAGAGGGCCAAGGUGUCCCAGGCCCUGUUUGCCAAGGUGGCAGCCAAUAAGAGCCAGGGCUGGCUGUGUGAACUGCUGCGCUGGAAGGAGAACCCCAGCCCGGAGAAUCGCACCCUCUGGGAGAACCUGGGUACCAUCCGCCGCUUCCUCAACCUGCCCCAGCCCGACCGCGACGUCGUCUACGAGGAGGAAUCCCGCCACCACCACAGUGAGCGUCUGCAGCACGUCGUCCAGCUCGCCCCCGAGCCCGUCCAGGCCCUUCACCGGCAGCCGACCAAGGAGAACUCCCCUCCGCGAGAGGAGGCGCCCCCUCCCCACCCGGCCCCGCCGCCCCCGGCCUCCGCCUCCGCCUCGGCCGAGGACGGCUGCCCGAAGAAGCCCCGGGCCCGCACCAAGAUCUCCCUGGAGGCCCUGGCCAUCCUGCAGAGCUUCAUCCACGACGUGGGGCUCUACCCGGACCAGGAGGCCAUCCACACGCUGUCCGCCCAGCUGGACCUGCCCAAGCACACCAUCAUCAAGUUCUUCCAGAACCAGCGCUACCACGUGAAGCACCACGGCCAGCUGAAGGACCACCCGGGGGCCGCCGUGGACGUGGCCGAGUACAAAGACGACGAGCUGCUCACCGAAUCGGAGGAGAACGAGAGCGAGGAGGGCUCCGACGAGAUGUACAAAGUGGACGGCGACGACCCCGACAAGGCCCGGGGACCCCCGGCGGACGCGGACCAGAGAUAAUGGGGAGCCCCCCAUCCCAAUCUCCCCCGACCCCCUCCACCCAGUCCUCCAUCCGCCACACACAACCACCCACCCUCCCUCUCCCCGCCUCCGGGACUUUCUGGUUUCUAGCGGGGUUGUCUCCCGUUGGGGGGUUCUGGAUUUUGGUUUUCGGGGUUUCUUUUUUCGGUUCCUUUUCCCCCCACCUCCCCGUCCUCCUCCGGCCACUACCGAGGCCCCAUCACGGCCGGGACCCCCGGUCAGACCGGACACGAUCCAGACGGGCCCGACGGACGACGCCUCGGCUCGGCCUGCUCUCGCCCUGUCGAAGUGAUGCCCUUGGCUUACACGGGGCCCAAGGUGGUGGGUCGGGGGUGGGAAGAGCCGGCACGGAGAGACCCUCCCCCCAAAACCCCGGCCCCCCGCCGGCGGACGGAGAGCCCAGCCAGGAGUGUACGUAUAUGUACAUAUAUACAUAUAUAUAUUUACAUAUAUAUUAAAAUUGCAUGGGACAGAGAACUUUACGAUCUGGAAAGUACAGACUGUGAAAGGACUUAAAGACGAGACUUGUUUAUGUAUUAAAACCACUUCAUAAAGGGUUGCUCUGGCUUUUUGAUAAACUGCCAUCUGCUCUCAAGCUUCCUCUCUGGCAGUUUGAUGAUUUUGGAGGUAUGUAUUUAACGAAAUGAAUCAACACUGCCAAAAAAAAAAAAAAAUGGGGAAAAAAAGAAGUGGAAAUGAAGUUAAAAUCAGGGCACCUUAAAAAGACCGUCCAGUUCCUUUGGAAGACACAGCGCAGCACGGUUGAAGUUGAUCCACAGAUCUCGAUCAUCCAACUCUCCCUCGCUGGAAUGACCAGGAGUCGUCAAGCAAAGGAGGAAAGGCGAAAUUCCAGGCCGGGAAGAGUCGCCCAGUGGCGAGGUCCUGACGAGAUUCCUUCGGGACAUUCGCCGUAUGAAAUUCAUUUACGUUUCUCCGCUCCGGAGCUUGACCUCUUAUAAGCUUGCUCACUUAUAAAGAUAUUUUUUGUUUUUUUGGGUUUUGUUUUUGGCUAGACUUGAAUGAAAACGAUUUUCAGCUGAAACCAGGAAAGGUCCCUUGGGAAACAGGAAACGUCAUGACUCGACACCCCCCCCCCACCCCCCAUCCCCAGUUAAAUCGGUGGUACGUACUGAGCUCCUGCUGCGUGCGGAGCACUGUACGGAGCGCUUGGGAGAGGACAGGAGAGUUAACAGAGAAGAAGCCAGCCCUCGAGGAGCUUUCUGUCUGUCUUAUCGGAGGACUGUACUGAACGCUUGGUAGUGUCUGGUAGACACGAUCCCUUUCCCUCAAGGAGUAUCCAGUCUAGUGAUCCAGUCCGGCCCGACCCUCUCCCACAAGGUGGUCUUCCCCUCCUCUGGGAACCCCUUCUCCCGCCCCCUCCCCCAAAUCCCAUCAGGGUCUCUGGGCGGUUUCGGCCAUCAGCUGACCCAGCUGCCCCUCUCCAGAGGUUGGAUGGGGGUUGCCUAAGCCCGAGACCCUCUCCUGCUGACCCUGGGUCCCGAACCCAGACCCCCUUCCCCCAAA